GUAGAGAUAUUAGUGUAUUACCUGUAUAUUUCAGAUGCUGGUGCUGCUACUGCUGGACCAAGUGAUGUGAUGUACGCCAAGAUUCAACUCAAAGAGUUGGACAAGAAAAAGAAAAAAAUGACAUCUGAUCCAAAAGAAAAUCCAGUCUAUUCUGAGGUCAAGACGGGGAAGACCACAGCAGCAACUGGACCUGUUGAUGUGACCUAUGCUGAGGUUGACCUUAAACAGAAGGCCAAAGUCAAGAAGAAGAAAUGUAAGACAGG